GACGAACGCUGGCGGCGUGCUUAACACAUGCAAGUCGAACGGAAAGGCCCUGCUUUUGUGGGGUGCUCGAGUGGCGAACGGGUGAGUAACACGUGAGUAACCUGCCCUUGACUUUGGGAUAACUUCAGGAAACUGGGGCUAAUACCGGAUAGGAGCUCCUGCUGCAUGGUGGGGGUUGGAAAGUUUCGGCGGUUGGGGAUGGACUCGCGGCUUAUCAGCUUGUUGGUGGGGUAGUGGCUUACCAAGGCUUUGACGGGUAGCCGGCCUGAGAGGGUGACCGGCCACAUUGGGAUUGAGAUACGGCCCAGACUCCUACGGGACGCAGCAGUGGGGAAUAUUGCACAAUGGGCGGAAGCCUGAUGCAGCAACGCCGCGUGCGGGAUAACGGCCUUCGGGUUGUAUACCGCUUUCGCCUGUGACGAAGCGUGAGUGACGGUAAUGUGUAAAGAAGCACCGGCUAACUACGUG
rnacentral:rRNA from 1 species